CGGUAACAAAGGCCUUUGUUUCCAGGCCGUUUUGAUUCAAGUUCGUUCUGUGCCACAAGGCUGUGUCUGGCUCCCUGUCCUGCUGAGGCAUGAACUAUGAAUUCCAAUCCAGAAAUUGCUCUGUCUCUUCAAAUAUCCCUGCUGGUGUUUCACCCUUCCCAAAUAUGGGUCGCAACAUUUUUAUCCCAAGAGUGGGUUGCUAAGGAGGGCCACAGAGGGCCUUGCAUGUGGGCAUCACCCCUGCUCUCCAGAAGGCAGAAGCCCUGCAAAGGAAUCGAGGGAUCUGCUCCCUGCCAUCAAGACCAAAAGCAAAACAUGGUGGAGCCCUUCCCUCAAGGAGGGGCCCAACCAGAAGACCCCGGGCAGAAGGGCCCUGGAAGCGGUCAGGUGGAGAAGUCCUGAUGCAUGUGGGAUGGGCGAUGCCAUCAAGAACGUCAGCUUCUAGCCUCUGGAUUUGGCUACUACCUAUUAACUUGUCUGGGUUUUUUGGUCUUCGGUUGGUCAUUUAAAACUCAAAUCUUUCCCCGAUUGUAUUAAUAUUUCUUUUUUGUGCUCACUGAAUGUCAUCCCUACUACCGCCCCAAAAACCCCAAAGUGUGUGGUGCUAGUUAUAACUCACUUUGCUCUCCUUUGCAGAGCAAAGUUUGAUCUGGACACGAAAUAAAUAAAUUUAACUCACUCAGGG